CCUCGGCCCAACUUUCUUCCCCAACCGGAAGUCGCCGCCCCGCCCCGCCUCGCCCCGCCCCGCCCGCCUUUUACCGGACGGCCGGCUCGGAGGAGGUGGGGCGGAGGCCGCGACUGGCAGGGACAAACUCCAAUGAGAAACGGAGGAGCCGAAGGCCCCGCCCACCCCUCUGGGCUUCAGCGCCGCUGCCACGGGCACCGCCCACACAGGUUCUUCUUUUCUGCGCCCGGUUCCUGGUGUUUCUGGGGCGUUAAUGGCGGCCGACCUGGUGGGUCUGUGGCCUUCUCCCGAAGGCGUCGCAGGAGCUGAGGGUGCUGCUGCACGAUGCAGAAGGCGGAGGCAGGUGAAGGGCACCAGGUGUGCCGCGAGGUGGCGAUGGAAGGUGGCAGAGAAGCCAGCUGGGAGGGCGGGGAGCAAACCCGAAGUCCUUGCAGACCCCGUCAUUGAACGUGGCCUGGUGUGUCAUUGCUUCCAGUCGAGGCCUUCUCAGUAGACAGAGCUGGGAUAGAUACACACAAGUAUUUAUUCGAAAUCAUGGAUUUAUACUGAUAUCUCCAUUUCCAGCCCAAUCGUCCUUUGCCCAAGUUGCUCCACAGUAAAGAGAGCGAGAGCGAGUGCCUACGUUUCCAGCCUCCUCGCUCACCACUUCCGUCUCUCAGCAGCACCCGUGUUACUUCACACCUGCGCGGUACAUGUACAUGUUUGAACCAGAGCCUUGGCUUUGGAAUCAGACAGCCCCAGUUUCAAAUCAGCCCCUGCCAAUGAAGACUUCUAUGAUUUGCGUGUACCCUUGUUUGUGCGUGGGGAUGACAUCUUCCACGGGUUGUUGUGAGGACAAAAUUCUGUGCAUGGACUAAGCAUUCAUUCAAUGGUAGCUGUUUAUUAAUUCCAUACUUUUCAACAGUGCAGUUCUCUCUAUCUGUAAUGCCCCCACUUUUUUUCUCUUUUUAAUCAGCUGGAAAACUUCUCGAGGAGCCCUGGUGGCACAGUGGUUAAAAGCGUUCGGCUGCUAACUGAAAGAUCGGCGGUUCAAAACCCACGAGCCACUCCAGAGAAGAAUGUGGCAGUCCAUAAAGAUUUACAGCCUCGGAAAAGCUAUGGGGCAGUUCUACUCUGUCCUGCAGGGUGACUGUGAGAGAAUCUUCUCCACAGCAGUGGGUUUGGCCCAACUUAUCACAUCAAGAUAUCCUCCACAUGCUCUUUACUCCCUUUCUUUGCUAUUACUUUAGCACGGAUAUAUGAAUAACCUCGUUGUAACCUUAUUACACUGGACAAGUAUUUAUUGAAUGAGUGACAUUAACGUUUAUCUAGGAAAAUGACAUUUUAGAGAUGUGAUAACUAGAAUUGUACCUUCUACGUGGCUGCACAGCAUGUACAACUAGAGUAGAACUUGGAUCCUGAAGCCCCAGACAGUAUUCUUUCUAUAAUACCAGGCUGCCUCCUGUUUUCACUUAGUUCUUUCAUUUGUUGUUGUCGGGUGCUGUCCUAGCGGCCCUAUAUGACAGAGUACAACAGCUCUAUAGGGUUUCCUAGGCUUGAAGCCCUGGUGGUGUAGUGGUUAAGAGCUUGGCUGCUAACCAGAAAGGUUGGCAGUUCAAAUGCACCAGCCUGUCCUUGGAAACACUAUGGGGCAUUUCUGCUCUUUCCUAUGGGGUCACUAUGAGUCAGAACCGAGUCAGCGUCACCUACGAACAACAACAGUCUUUACAGGAGCAGAUUGCCAGGUCUUUCUCCUGCAGAGCCACUGGGUGGGUUCAAACUACCAACCUUUUGGUUAGCAGCCAAGCACAUAACCAUUGCACCAGCAGGGCUCCUUGUUCUUUUAUUAGACCAAUGAUUUUCAAACUUUUAAAGGCAUAGAAUCCUUUAUUCAAAUUUAUCUUAUGAAACCCCAACAUAUCAAAUAGGUAAAAAGUAAAGCUGCCAUAGCUGCAGUUGGAAGAUCGAGAAGUGGGAGAGGGUAGGAGGCCUCAGGGUAAUAUGCUCUCCCUUCACCUGCUUCAACAGCUGUUGAGGUACUUCAGCCUUCUGAACACCUUGAAAAACACUGCAUUAGUUCAUAAAUUUCUCCAGUAGAGUCCAUAUCUUACUUUUAUGGCCCCAGUGCCUAGCACAGUGCAGUUUUCCUGGAAGUACAUUUAAUUGGUCUUAGCAAAUUGAUCUCAAACGUUUCUGUGGUCUUUUACUUUUCCUUCUUAUGGGAUGAAAUGGAUUACUAAUUUUUACUUCUUAAGAAAUAACAUUUAUUACUUUCUUCUGAUUUUAAAAACAAGUCAUGCAGAAUGUAGAAAAUGUCAGCAAAUACCUGUUGAGUACAGUAUGGAAAAUGCAGCAAAACCCCUUGAUGAUGUAGAUCCAGAUACAACACUAUUGGUGACUGGCUCCUGCCCACUAGACAGGCACAUCCUAGUCAUUUCACUGACUUCUUCCUAAUGCGACCUCACAUUUUAGGUUAUUGAAUUUUGGGGGCCUCAUUGCCUUCUGUUUUCCUGCACAAAAACCUUGCUAGGUAGAUAUCCCCAUUUUACAAAUGGGGGAGUUGGGGCCUUUAAAAAAGUAAGGCUAGCAAGGUCUAACAAUGUUCAUUAUUGCUUUUUAAGGUCUCACCAGAAGCAUAUUUAAUGUCCACAUUUCUAGUACAUUCUGUUCAUGAUAGAAGCUUUCUCUGCAGUUUACACUUCUUUCUGAGCCCGCACCGGAAGUCUCUUGAAGGCACUCUGAACUUUGACUAUCAGGCGUCUCAAAACUCUUCCAACCUCUACCCAUCACCCAAUUCCAAUGCCACUCCUACUUUUUUUAGUAUUUGUUACAGCAACAUCCCCCUUUCUGGAACCAGAAUCUGUAUUAGUCUCCUAGGGCUGCUAUAACAAAUACCACAAAUUAGGUGACUUUUAAUAAGAGAAAUUUACUGUUUCACAGUUCUGGAUGCUAGAAGUCCAAAUCAACAUGUUGGUCAGGCCAUGCUGUCUCCCAAGUCUUUUGGGGGAAUAUUCCUCCUUGUCUUUACUGACUUCUGAUAGCCCCAGAUAUCACUGACUUGCAGCUGCAGCAUAACUCCAACUCUGCCUCUGUCAUCACCUAGCCAUCUUUCCUCUGUCUGUCUCUGUCUCUCCUUCUCUUUUAUAGGACCAAACUCAGAUUGGAUUAGGACCCACCCUACUUCAGUAUGGUCUGAUAUUUAACUGAUAACAUUUCAAAGACCCUAUUUCCAAACAGGGUCACAUUCACAGGUACCAGGGGUUAGGACUUCAACAUAAAUUAUGGGAGGCAUGAUUCAAUCCAUAACAGAAUGUUUUGGGCAGAAUUUUAAUUCCAUCCAAAGAUGUUCACUCAUUUUACAACCUGAUAGUAUUACUGUAGCUAUCUAAUCUAGCUCUCUUAUUCUGUACCUGAAAAACUCAGGAAGGGGCCAUCUAUGUGAUUUAUUUAAUUGUUUGGUUUAUAAGUCAGUAAACCAAAAGGCUUGUACUUAUGACAGAAAAGUACUUCUUUAUAUUGUCAAUUAUCUAACUUCUUCCAAGCUAUUUUUAUUUAUGUUGCGAAGAUAAGUAUUUAUAUUAACAAACAGUAUUAAACCAAGUUAGUUGGAAGCAAGUUGUGUUCUAAAGAAUUUAACCUUGCCCAAAGAGAGAGGUCUGGCCUUUGCCUUCUCUUCUGGGAGGUAAUCUCUUAGCCCUAGGAAUGUUGUGCCUCAUAGGAGCAUCUUUGUAUACCUGGGGGCCUUGGACCAGCUAGAUAGCAUCAAAGUGAUUUCCAGGGGUGCCUUUGGGUCACAUAGUAUUACCUCAACCUCCACCUCCUGAGGGACUGAAGACUGAGAUCAUUCAUGUGGGCAGUCAUUCAUGUUUAUAUGAUGGAGCUCAAUUAAAAACUCUGGACACCAAGCCUCAGAUGAGCUUCCCUGGUUAGCAGUACUCUGUGUGUAUUGUCACAGAUUUUUACCAGGAGGAGUGAAUGCUGCCCACAACUCCAUGGGGAGAGGACAACUGGAAACUCUGCGUUUGGAACCCGCCUGGACUCUGCUCUGUGCAUGUCUUCCCUUGGCUGAUUUUAAUCUGUAUCCUUUAGCUGUAUUAAACCAACAACUGUGGGUAUGGCAGCUUUCACUGAGUUCUGUGCGUCUUUCCAGUGAAUUAUUGAACCUGAGGGUGGUUUUGAGAACCACCGAACUCUGCAGUUGGUGUUAGAAGUGAGAGUGGCCUUGGUGGACUAUGCCCUAACUUUGCAAGUAGCUAACGUCACACAAGUUAAUUGAUUUGAAAGUGGAUUUCAGACAUCAUGGCAUUUCAAAACUCAGAAACCAAACCCAGUGCCAUCGAGUCAAUUCCGACUCAUAGCGACCCUAUAGGACAGAGUAGAACUGCCCCAUAGAGUUUCCAAGGAGCGCUUGACAGAUUCGAACUGCAGACCCUUGGUUAGCAGCCGUAGCACUUAACCUCUGCGCUGCCAGGGUUUCCUCAUGGCAUUUCACACCUACGUUUUUCAGCAUAUGCCUUUUAAGAAUAAGUACAGUGUUCUACAAAACCACAGUCUUAUUAUCACACCUAUAAAAUAAAUAAGCAAUAAUUCCAUCCUAUCUAAUAUCCAGCCCAUAUUCAUGGCUCUCCACUUGUUCCCAAAAUGUUUAUAGCUGUUUCUGCCUCUGAAUUGAGACCCAAUCAAGGUUCAUACAUUGCUUUUGCCAUUAUGUCUCUGUAAUCUUUUAAUCCAGAAUAGCCCUCUGAUUUUUUUUUUUUCAUGACACGUUUUUAAGAGUUCACACUUUUUGUCUUGUAGGAAUGUCCAGUGUGCUGUAUUUGUCUGAUUGUGUCCUCAAGGUUAAUUACAUUUUAAAGUGACAUUUAUAAAUAUUGUCGUUAAGAUAUUUGAUAGCACUCUAGACGGUCUGGAUGUUUGACGUGAACAUUCUUUGCAUUUGAUGAUAUAAAAUUAACAUUGUAGUGACAUCAGGACCAAGUGAAAGUAUGAGAAAAAAGUAGGGAUCUGUGCUUUGGGAUUUAUACUUGGGAAAGUUAAUAAAUAUUAUUAGAGUAAAUAUUUUACUAUCCAGUUUCUUGACUUCUUCAGGCCUCUUGCCUGCUUUAUGGCCUCUGCAUACACAAGAACGUCUCAGGAUUGGAGAAGAAAUAAUUCUAAAGAAUUAUUGUGCGAAUGUUUUAUAAUUUAGUCGUUUUAAAUAAUUGUUAUUUUUAGUGUGAUAAUCAAUUGGAUUUCUGUUUUGUAGCCUUUUAUUGAAGAAAUUUUCAACCCAACAUAAAAGUGAAAAGUACUGCUCAGUGAACUCCAGUGAACCGUCACUAACUUCAGCCGCCAUCGGCUUGCUCCUGUUCUUAUUUCAUCUAUUUCCCUUGACACACAGUUGUUGUUAUUGUUUGCUGGAAUAUUUUAAAGCAGAUACCAGGCAUCACACCUUUUCUCCUUGAAAUGCUUUGGUACAUGUUCUAACAGAUACUGACUUUUUAAAAGCGUUAUCACAAUACCAGUAUUAUAGUCCACAAAAUUAACAGUAAUUUCUCAUUACUGUCUAAUACUAGAGCUGUGUUCAGAUUUCCUCAAUUGUCUCAAGAAUACCAUCUUACAGGUUUUUUUUUUCUUCAAUCAGAUCCAGUCAAGGUCCACAGAUUGGUUUUGGCUGAUAUGUCUCUUAAGACUAUUUUAAUCUGUAACACUUCCCCCUCUCUCUUUUUUUUUUUAAUGCCAUUUUUGUUUGAAGAAACUGGGUCAUGUGUCCUGGAGAGUUUCCCACAUUCUGGAUUUGGCUGGUUGUAUCUGCACAGUGUUAUUUUUCUUGUUUCUCUAGCCUCCAUAUUUUCUGUAAACUGGUAGUUAGAUCUAGAAGAUUCAUUAGAUUUAGGUUUCAUUAUUUUGUCAAAUGUAUUUCAGAGGCAGUAGUAUGGACUUCCCAUUGCAUCACAUUUGGAGGAACAUGAUGUUUGAUGCCCCACAUUUAGUGAUGUUAAGAUUAGCCAGUGGGCUCUGGCACUGUCAGAUGGUCUAUUACAGAGGUCCCCUUGAGCUUCCCACUUAAUAGCUUUAGCAGAUUGUUGCCUGAUUGGACCGGGAAACAUGAUCAAGUAGUUUGCCUGACCCACAAUUUCUCAGUUCCAAAGCUAGUAGGUUUUGACCUAAUUAGCCACUGCAGUUGCUUUCAAAUAGAAUUAUAGUUUUGAAACUAGGUUAGUUAAACAGUUUUUAAAAAGCAAAUCACAUAGACACUUGGUGUGUGUAGGCUAUAGUUUUAGUUGUGAUAUUUGCCAUUCAGAAGGUUAGUCUUCCCCACCUCACACCAUAUACAAAAUUAACUCAAAAUAGAUCAAAGACAUAAAUGUAAGAGCUAAAACUAUGAAAACUUAGACCUUGGAUUAAGCAAUGAUUUCUUAGGUGUGACACCAAAGACACAAGCAACAAAAGAAAAAAAGACAAAUUUGACUUCAUCAAAAUUAAAAACAUUUGUGCUGCAAUAAAAAACCAACAAGAGUAUAAAAAGACAACCCACGGAAUGGGGAAGAAUAUCUGCGAAUCAUAUAUCUGAUAAGGGAGUUGCAUCUGGAGUAUCUAAAGAACUCUUACAACUCAAUAAGAAGACAAGCCAAUCAAUGAGAAGUGUUAUAAGGAAAAUAACACAGGGCAAUGUGUUAGUGACUUGGGAUGGGUGACACCACUCAGGAUGUAGCAUAUAACCCGAGUCCUGUGUCCGUUAGGAUUAGAUUCAGCUGUAAGUGACAGAAAAUCCAGAAUAAAGUGGCUUAAAAAAUAGACGUUUCUUUCUCUGCCACAUUAAUGAGGUCUGUAGGCAAGGAUUCUAGGGCCAAAUGACACUCCACGGUAACGUGGACCCAUCCUUCUCUGUCUUGUUGCUCUGCCAUCCUUGCAAACUGAAACCAAACCAACUGCUGUCGAGUCGAUUCCGACUCAUAGCGACCCCACGGGACAGAGUAGAGCUGCUCGAUAGAGUUUUCAAGGAGCACCAUGCGGAUUCGAACUGCCAACCUCUUAGUUAGCAGCCUUAGCUCUUAAUCACUGCACCACCAGGGUUUCCCCAUCCUCCUUACACAUCCUUAUUUCAUGGUAUGUGAUGGUUGCUUGUGCUCUAGCUAUCAUUUCCACAUUCUAGCUAGUAGGAAGGGGAGGAGUUCGUGGUGUGGAGAUGGUCAAGAAGGACAAGCUUCUUCCAUUUAAGCACCUUUCCUGCAAGUUGUAUGUACUAUUUCGAGUUCCAUCCCACUGGAUAGAACUUGGCCAGCCAUAUGUAGCUCUAAGAGAGGCUGGAAAUUAUAGCCUUUGUUCUGGAUGGCCAUGUGCUAAGCUAAAAAUUGGGCAUUCUAUUUCCAAGGAAGAAGGAGAGAAUGGAUAUUGAAGGAUAACUAGAGAUCUUUGCCUUAAAAUGAUGAGAAGAGGACCACAUGAACCACAGCCUCCACCAGCCUGAGCCCAGAAGAGCUAGAUGGUGCCUAGCUACGAUCGCUGACCACCCUGACAGCCUUAAAUAUGGACAGCUUGGGAUCCUCAGAAAUUUGUGGAAAAUCUCUAACAUGUGAGACAAAAACCAAAAUAGUGAUGAUGAGAAGGGCAGAAGAAAAAAAAAAUUAAGUCACUCUAAUUUCCUCAUAUCCUCAGACGGGAAGGGACAGGCAACAUGGCCGACAACAGUCUCCAACAUCAAAACGCAAGCUGCUGACCUCCGAAUGAUCUGUCAUCACCAAAAGAAAUGUGAAUGAUGAGAACAACCACAAAAAUUUCAAUCUAAGAAUCAUUGGAUUGCCUAGACAAAAUGCAUAAAAUUUGCUGAAACUCAGAAUUUAUGUAUCUUUUACUGAAAUACCAUAUUCUGUAAUAUCAACUGUGAUUAAAAGCUGAUGUUAAUAAUGUGCUAUUGAAAAGACAAGCAACACAAGGCUUGUGGGGGCAGCGAUCAAUUUAAAUCUCUAGUGAAAGAUUCAAAAGGGAUGUGUUCCAGGGCCAAGUCCCCCACCAGCAGUGUCUGGAACAGCAUGAGCUUUAUUCACAAGCUGUUUCAGGCCUCGAAGUUUAACAAACAAGUCUCAAAAAAAAUAUGAGUUUAUGGAACUAAAUAUAGAACUUAAUAAGUAAGACUAAGUACAGGCCCUGCCUCUGCUAUUGGCUUGGAGGUCUGAGAUCUAUUUCUUCUACCUUACUGUCUUACUUCUUUUUUUUUAGCGUACUUUAGAUGAAGGUUUACAGAACAAACUAGUUUCUCAUUAAACAGUACAUACAUUGUUUUAUGAUGUUGGUUAACAACGCCACGACAUGUCAACACUCCCCUUUCUCAACCUUAGCUUUCCUAUUACCAGCUUUCCUGGCUCCUCCUGCCUUCUAGUCCUUGCCCCAGGGCUGGUGUGCCCCUUUAGUCUUGUUUUGCUUUAUGGGCCUGUCCAGUCUUUGGCUGAAGGGUGAAGUCCAGGAGUGACUUCAUUAUUAUUGGGCUCAUACGGUGUCUAGGGGCCAUAUUCUCAGGGUUUCUGCAAUCUCUGUCAGGCCAGCAAGUCUGGUCUUUCUUUUUGAGUUAGAAUUUUGUUCUGCCUUUUUCUUCAGCCCUGACCCUCUAUCGUGAUCCCUGUGAGAGCAGUCAGUGGUGGUAGCCAGGUACCACCUAGUUGUACUGGACUCAGUCUGAUGGAGGCUGUGGUAGAUGUGGUACAUUAGUCCUUUGGACUAACCUUUCCCUUGUGUCUUUAGGUUUCUUCAUUCUUCCUUGCUCCCGAAGGGAUGAGAAAAGUGGAGUAUUCUAGGUGGCCGCUCACAGGCUUUUAAGACUCCAGAUACUACUCACCACAGUAGAAUGUACAGCAUUUUCUUUAUAAACUAUGUUAUGCCAAUUCAGCUAGAUGUUUCCCAAGACCAUGGUCCCCACAGCCCUCAAAACUGGCUUACUUCUUACCUGUAUUAUCAUCUUUAUGACUUUAGCUGAGAUCUUCACCUAGAACUCCCGGUUGAAGCCUUGAGCCAUCUUCAAGCUUUGACUUAUCUCCUGGUUUUUAGAUAAGGUGUAGACAGCAAGAAGAUUUAGGAGGGAGUUAACUCUUUCUGGAGUCCCUGUUGUUGUUCUUGUUAGGUGCCGUCGAGUUGGUUCCGACUCGUAGCGACCCCAUGCACAUCAGAACAAAACACUGCCUUGUUCUGAGCCAUCCUUACAAUCGUUGUUAUGCUUGAGCUCAUUGUUGCAGCCACUGUGUCAAUCCACGUCGUUGAGGGUUCUUCGUCGGUUCCACUGACCCUGUACUCUGCCAAGCAUGAUGCCCUUCUCCAGGGACUGAUCCCUCCUGACAACAUGUCCAAAGUAUGUAAGAUGCAGUCUCGCCAUCCUUGCCUAUAAGGAGCAUUCUGGCUGCACUUCUUCUAAGACAGAUUUGUUCGUUCUUUUGGGAGUCCAUGGUAUAUUCAAUAUUCUUCGCCAACACCACAAUUCAAAGGCAUCAAUUCUUCUUCAGUCUUCCUUAUCCAUUGUCCAGCUUUCACAUGCAUAUGAUGCGAUUGAAAAUACCAUGGCUUGGGUCUGCCACACCUUAGUCUUCAGGGUGACAUCUUUGCUCUUCAACACUUUAAAGAGGUCCUUUGCAGCAGAUUUACCCAAUGCAAUGCAUCUUUUGAUUUCUUGACUGCUGCUUCCAUGGCCCUUGAUUGUGGAUCCAAGUAAAAGGAAAUCCUUGACAACUUCAGUCUUUUCUCUGUUUAUCAUGAUGUUGCUCAUUGGUCCAGUUGUGAGGAUUUUUGUUUUCUUUAUGUUGAGGUGCAAUCCGUACUGAAGGCUGUGGUCUUUGGUCUUCAUUAGUAAGUGCGUCAAGUCUUCUUCACUUUCAGCAAGUAAGGUUGUGUCAUCUGCAUAAUGCAGGUUGUUAAUGAGUCUUCCUCCAAUCCUGAUGCCCCAUUCUUCUUCACAUAGUCCAGCUUCUCAGAUUAUUUGUCAGCAUACAGAUUGAAUAGGUAUGGUGAAAGAAUACAACCCUGACUCACAUCUUCCCUGACUUAAAACCAAUCAGUAUCCCCUUGUUCUGUCCGAACAACUGCCUCUUGAUCUAUGUAAAGGUUCUUCAUGAGCACAAUUAAGUGUUCUGGAAUUCCCAUUCUUCACAGUGUUAUCCAUAGUUUUUUAUGAUCCACACAGUCGAAUGCCUUUGCAUAGUCAAUAAAACACAGGUAAACAUCCUUCUGGUAUUCUCUGCUUUCAGCCAGGAUCCAUCUGACAUCAGCAAUGAUAUCCCUUGUUCCACGUCCUCUUCUGAAACCAGCCUGAAUUUCUGGCAGUUCCCUGUUGAUAUACUACUGCAGCCGUUUUUGAAUGAUCUUCAGCAAAAUUUUGCUUGGGUGUGAUGUUCAUGAUAUUGUUCUAUAAUUUCCACAUUCGGUUGGAUCACCUUUCUUGGGAAUAGGCAUAAAUAUGGAUCUCUUCCAGUCAGUUGGCCAGGAAGCUGUCUUCCAUAUUUCUUGGCGUAGAUGAGUGAGCACCUCCAGCAUUACAUCUGUUUGUUGAAACAUCUCAAUUGAUAUUGCAUCAAUUCCUGGAGCCUUGUUUUUCUCCAGUGCCUUCAGAGCAGCUUGGACUUCUUCCUUCAGUACCAUGAGUUCCUGAUCAUAUGCCACCUCUUGAAAUGGUUCAGCAUCAACUAGUUCUUUUUGAUAUAAUGACUCUGUGUAUUCCUUCCAUCUUCUUUUGAUGCUUCCUGCAUCGUUUAAUAUUUUCCCCAUGGAAUCCUUCACUAUCGCAACUCGAGGCUUGAAUUUUUUCUUCAGUUCUUUCAGCUUGAGAAACGCCAAGCAUGUCCCUCCCUUUUGGUUUUCCAUCCCCAGCUCUUUGCACAUGUCAUUAUAAUAUUUUGUCUUCUCAAGACGCCCUUUGAAAUCAUCUGUUCAGUUCUUUUACUUCAUCAGUUCUUCCUUUUGCUUUAGCUGCUCGACGCUCAAGAGCAAGUUUCAGAGUCUCCUCUGAUGUCCAUCUUGGGCUUUUCUUUCUUUCCUGUCUUUUCGGUGACCUCUUGCUUUCUUCAUGGAAGAUAUCCUUGAUGUCAUUCCACAACUCGUCUGGUCUUCGGUCACUAGUGUUCAAUGCGUCAAAUCUAUUCUUGAGAUGGUCUCUAAAUUCAGGUGGGAUGUACUCAAGGUCAUAUUUUGGCUCUCGUGGACCUCCUCUGAUUUUCUUCAGUUUCAGCUUGAACUUGCAUAUGAGCAAUUAAUGGUCUGUUCCACAGUUGGCCCCUGGCCUUGUUCUGACUGAUGAUAUUGAGCUUCUCCAUCGUCUCUUUCCGCAGAUGUAGUCAAUUUGAUUUCUGUGUGUUCCAUCUUGUAAGGUCCAUGUGUAUAGUCACCGUUUAUGUUGGUGAAAGAAGGUAUUUGCAAUGAAGAAGUCGUUGGUUUUGCAAAAUUCUAUCAUUCGAUCUCCGGCAUUGUUUCUAUCACCAAGGCUGUAUUUUCCAACUUCUGGUCCUUCUUCUUUAUUUCCAACUUUCGCAUUCCAAUCGCCAGUAAUUAUCAAUGCAUCUUGAUUGCAUGUUUGAUCAAUUUUCAGAGUGCAGCAGCUGAAAAAAAUCUUGUAUUUCUUCAUCUUUGGCCCUAAUGGUUGGUGCGUAAAUUUGAAUAAUAGUCGUAUUAACUGGUCUUCCUUGUAGGAGUAUGGAUAUUAUCCUAUCACUGACAGUGUUGUACUUCAGGAUAGAUCUUGGUGCAAACAGUUAACGUGCUGGGCUGCUAAUCAAAAGAUUGGAGGUUCGAGUCCACUGAGAAGUGCCUUGGAAGAAAGGCCUGACAGUAUACUUUCAAAAAAUCAGUCAUGGAAAAGCCUGUGAAGCACCACUUUACUUUACCCUGAGACACAUUGCCAUGAGUCGGAGCCGACUGCUCAGCAGCUGGUGUGGUGUCGUGUAACUCUGCCGCUGUUAAAGCGAUGUUAGCCCAACGGUUUCCAAUCUUUUGCCACGAAGAUCCCAUUGAGUACACAUCGCUGCUUAAUUUUGGCUCUCACCCUGAACCCUUGCUGGGCAGAGCACGUACUGUAUGUGUUCAGCAUGUGCAAGUGGCUGACAUGUGCCCACCAUGGCACACCCUGAAAUCAUCUGUAUUACUCUUCUUUUGUAAAAAAUUGAAAGUAGCUCCCAGGUGCCCAUGACUGCCAUCAAAUUCAUUACAGCCCUUUAUUUUAAAGACGAGCAGAGGAGUUAAAUGGUGGAAUAGUGAAUGUAGCAGAAAGCAUCCUGAAUCAUGAGUUAGAAGAACUGUGCUCUAGUCUCCACUUUAACAAAUAGCUAGCUUUUUUACCUUGCUAGGCUUUCUUAAUUUUUCUCACUUUACACAGUUUUGCCAGGUUUGUUUUUUGCCCCAAUAAAUGCAUUUACUCUUGUAAUUUAAAAAGGUACUAUUACGAUUUUACAAAUCACAGUUAUAACAUUAAAAAUCGUGUUUUAUUUUUUCAGUGGUGAAGUUCUAAUGAGAGUGUGUGUUAAGAUGAUCAGAUGUUCCCAUAGACUUGCUCCUUCCUUAGUGCCCUUCCUUUCCCAUAGUCUCCCUUUUCUCUCCUCAACUAUAGGAUUCACCACGUUCACCCCCAUGGCCUGUGUUAACGGUUUUGGAAACGUGAUCGCUUCUUUGUAUUUGUUCAGAUAAACAUAGGUAAUUGAUCCAACAUGACACUUGCUUUCCCAAUUAUAAAUGUAGUAUAUUGGUGCCUGAAAGAAUGUUAUCAUUGAUGAUAGGUUUGAGACGGAAUCCCCACAGUGCUGUAUUCUUUACCUGGCUUCCUCCCCUACAGUGUUGUAUUGCAAAAUUGUUUUCUUUGCUAGGCUCCCC